rnacentral:rRNA from 1 species
UACGGAGGGUGCGAGCGUUGUCCGGAAUCAUUGGGCGUAAAGGGCGCGUAGGUGGCGGCUUAAGCGUGCGGUGAAAGCUCGGGGCUCAACCCCGAGUCGGCCGUGCGAACUGAGUCGCUUGAGCACUGUAGAGGCAGGCGGAAUUCCGGGUGUGAGCGGUGGAAUGCGUAGAGAUCCGGAAGAACACCGGUGGCGAAGGCGGCCUGCUGGGCAGAGCUGACACUGAGGCGCGACAGCGUGGGGAGCAACAGGA